GCCUCACUGCAGCGCCCACGUCUGAGGAGCAGGAUCAGCCCAGAUAACAGGUUGUAACCGUGUUAGAAGAAAAGCCAGGCCCUGUGUCUCCCAGGGACAGGCUCUGCUGAGCAGGCGCCCACAGUCAGUAUCACCUGCACAGGUGGGAGACGAGCUCAGGUCCCCGCACUGCGGCGGCGUGGGAACCAGAGGGCCGGGUUCAGAACAGCCAGUGGCAAACCAGCUCCGUUUUUCUUACGGACUUCCUUCCCUUCUCUGAUUCCACCAUAUCCCACACCUGGAUGGGAGCCACAGCUGUUUGGAAAUACAGUGAUACUUCUUCUGGAUUUCUGCAUUUCCCAAGCUACAUAAAGCAUCAAUAAUUUUAUCUAUACUGGUAUCACCAGUGUAGCUUCUGCCACCGACUGGUCUCCCCAUUCAGCAGCGGGCCUGCCUCACCAACAGGACCAGAGGCUCCAGAGAGGUAGCCAGGCCCCAGCUGGCCUGAGCUUUACUGCCCCUUCAGUGCGAAGAUCCACUCAAAGCGAGGAGGGUCCCAUGGAAGGGACACGAGUCCCCAAAGGACUCCGGCUGGCCAAAGAUGGGACAAACUGAGCAUCAAAAAGAAUAAUGUCCACAAUGGCCUGAACCACAUGACAUGUUUAAAGGUCUAUCAGCUCAUAAAACAAAACCCCAGUGGUCACCUUUGGUGACCAGAGUACAGCACAGUCUGAAAAGUAAUAAAUAAAAUGCUUCUACAGGAAGUGGAAUUUCAGAAAAGCCAAGUCCCUCUAUAAGGCUUCCACAUAAUACAGGAAGGUGUAACAGGAUGAGAACAUCACCAUUUUGUAACCUACAGUGGAAACACGCGUCUCGGCAGCAUUCCUUCACGCAUGCUGAGUGCCAGGUGAAAGGCUGAUGGGAGCCUACCCAGGGGAGGAGCUGGAACACCACCAACAUCCACAACGGCCAGAUACCAGGCACCUCCUGAGAGCGCCUCACCUUUGUGAAGUUCUGUCCCAGCGCUGAGCCUUAAAUCCAUUCCAUUCCACAGGUCUAACCCCCAGAUUACAGGGAGUACGAGAGGAGAGAGUAUGUUCAUUGACAUAUGAACAUAAACCCAGGCAAGUCCAGAAUUUGGAAAAUUAUAAUAGACAAAGUUCCACGUUUCUUUACAAAUAAAUGGCAUAAGAUAAAAAAAGAGAAGGGGAAUUAAUCUAAAUUAAGAGACUUAGAAGAUGUCUAGCAACUAAAUGUAAUGUUUGGACCCACCGGAAUGCUAAUUUGAAAAAACCAACUGUAAGAAGACAUUUUGAGACAAUCAGGAACAAGUACACACAGACUGGGCAUUAGAUGAGUAGAGGGAAUCAUAAAUGUACAAGUUAUGCUAAUUACAUAAAGUUUAAGGAAGGCUCAGUUUAAUUUUAAAAAGUCUUACAAGAAGUGUACUUUGAACAUGUGCUUUUAACGUUUUAAAAUUAACUCUGUAGCACAGCUGAAAAUACAAGAUAAAUUCUAUAUUUACCUAAAAUAAAUGAGGCAAGGUGCUUGGAGUCUCAUAAUACGGCCACGAAUCAUUUGACAGGUGUUUACGCAAAUUUAGGGAACAUCUUUGACAACCUGUAUCAGAUGGUCAAUCAACAAACACGAUCAGUAUGUACUAUAAAUUCUCCUAAUUAACUAAUCACAUAAGUUGGUUAUAGCAAGACUUUUUCUUAAAUCUUGUUAAUUAUUUUAACAAGGGAAAGAGGCAUUCCAAUUUUCUGCAAGC